UCUGUCGUAUGUGAGUGCAUUACCAGCCACAAACAAUAAACAAUGAAUAAACAAUAAAUUAUGUAUAUCUCUGGUUUACACAACUAUUGCUGUGUCCCGUUUUGUGAGGCUCCUCAAAGGCUUCUCACACUUCUCCCCUGGAUGAAGAAACUCGAAAUAAGUGGAUUCAGAGUAGUAAUGUUAGAUGUAAGGAUUUUAACAUCAUGUCUGAUACUACAGUCUGCAGGCGCCUCUUCAAGAAUGACAAAAGCAUGAGAAUCUACAAUAGAAAACAUGUCUCAUCCAAUCUAGAUUUGAGAUGUAGAACCAUUUAAUGGCCUUUUGGAGAGUUAUUGAACCUGCAUUCCACAUGGUCCGUGUGUUCAGAGCAAGGACAACUACACUGAGGAGAGAAGUUGGAAUAACAAACAAUGCAAUGUGUCAGUCUCUGCAGCCCUUCGAUGAGUUCCUCCUCUUCAUGGUCCACCUUUCAGUCGGUCUUCCAGAGAAGGAUCUGACCUUACACAAAAAACUUGAGAUGGAUUAAUUUGGUUUUAUUUGUACAGACUAUAAUAUGUGAAAUGAGCUCUACGUGAAAUGAAUUAUAAUUGUAGA